UUUCCUACGGGGGGCUGCAGUAGGGAAUAUUGGUAAUCUGGGAAACCGGGAACCAGCAACGCCGCGUGCACGAUGAAGGCCUUCGGGUCGUAAAGUGCUUUUUGAAGGGAUGAGGAAGGACAGUACCUUCAGAAUAAGCCUCGGCUAACUACGUGCCAGCAGCCGCGGUAAAACGUAGGAGGCGAGCGUUAUCCGGAUUUACUGGGCGUAAAGCGUGUGUAGGCGGUUUGAUAAGUUGGAUGUGAAAGCUCCCGGCUCAACUGGGAGAGGUCGUUCAAAACUAUCAGACUAGAGAGUGGUAGAGGGAGGUGGAAUUCCGCGUGUAGUGGUGAAAUGCGUAGAUAUGCGGAGGAACACCAGUGGCGAAAGCGGCCUCCUGGCCCAUUUCUGACGCUCAGACACGAAAGCUAAGGUAGCAAACGGGAUUAGAUACCCUGGUAGUCGCU
rnacentral:rRNA from 1 species